AAACUUUCUCCUGCAGAAAACUGCUGGUAUAUUGUCCAGUUCUUGAUUCUUGGGACAUUUUACAGUGGGUGUAACAUUAAGUAUGGAUGACACAGACGUGAUGUUUCAAAUGGAAAAUCCUGAAGUUUAUAUCCCGUCUCUUAACAUUGACAAGGACAUCAUUGAGGAUGUGGAGAACAAAGUCUUAUAUGUCACCUCUCAUGAAUGUACGAUUCUUGCUAAGGAUCCUGAGUUGAGAAAUUACUUCAUUGUUUAUACAAUCUUUGAAGCACUCAAGUUUCGGUGACUGUCAUGUUUCAUGGUAAUUAAUGUGUCUUUUAUUCAAGUAAAUUGACUCUAAUCAAUUUG
rnacentral:sRNA from 1 species